GGAGCCUGGGCUGUGCUUUCCGCUCUCCAGCUGAUUCCAAUACACACCAAAGUUUGAGAACCACAGUCAAAGCUGCAGCAGCCACCCUGUGUCUGAAGGAAAUUCAGAGACACUGGUCACCAGAUGAGACGCUGAAGCAAUCCUAGCAGUCACUUACCUUCAGGCUGCUUGCUAUGUGCAAAGAAAAAAAAAAAGCUACUUAAGAUAUUUUAAGUAAUUGUGGCUGAAAGCGUUGUCGGUUGAUACACAGCCAAAUCAAAAGAGGAAUCACAACCAAUUAUAAUGUCCCCAAUGCCCAUAGAAUCAAAAUGUUCCAGUUGCUCAGAAGAAAUUCAACUUAGGCCCCGAGGCCAAAGAAAAAUUACUCCCCUAGGCCUGCAUGAAGGAGACACUGCUUGCUGUGUUAUCUUCUCAGGCUGUACACUCACCCACCCUGACAGCCUCCAAACUGUAUUGAAACCGUGCUGCCUUUUAAGAAGAGCAAUAGUCUCCUUUGAGGUCAGAACUUCGAAGUACUGCUCGAUAGUCAGAACUGGUCAUGGGAAGUCAACAGAGAGCAGCCCUGAAUGGAGCAACGUUGGGCCCGGCAAUGCAGGUGCAGCUCCUGAGUCAAAAUGUUACCUGACUUGGGCACUUUUCCAGCCAGGAUGUGGAUCUCUUAGCAGCCAGAGGCUCUGGGACACUGGAUGUGAGCCAGCCUACCUGUGGGCAGCAUAAUGGAACUUGAAGACAAAGGAAAGGUCCCACCCAGCACCAAAUAUUUCCUUCAGAUGCCUUUCCUAGUGAGACUGCUUUGCUUUGAUCAUGCAGUCAGAGGAUGCUCCUGUAUUGAGAUGGCCUGCAAUUCCAG
rnacentral:lncRNA from 1 species